GAGUUUGAUCAUGGCUCAGAACGAACGCUGGCGGCAGGCUUAACACAUGCAAGUCGAACGCGUGUAGCAAUACACGAGUGGCGCACGGGUGAGUAACACGUGGAUAUCUGCCUUUUGGUUCGGAAUAACCCUGGGAAACUAGGGCUAAUACCGGAUGGUUCCUACGGGAUAAAGAUUUAUCGCCAAAAGAUGAGUCCGCGUCCGAUUAGCUAGUUGGUGAGGUAAUGGCUCACCAAGGCGACGAUCGGUAGCUGGUCUGAGAGGACGAUCAGCCACACUGGGACUGAGACACGGCCCAGACUCCUACGGGAGGCAGCAGUGGGGAAUAUUGGACAAUGGGGGCAACCCUGAUCCAGCCAUGCCGCGUGAGUGAUGAAGGCCUUCGGGUUGU
rnacentral:rRNA from 1 species